rnacentral:rRNA from 1 species
UACAGAGGUCUCAAGCGUUGUUCGGAUUCAUUGGGCGUAAAGGGUGCGUAGGCGGCGCCGUAAGUCGGAUGUGAAAUCUUCGGGCUCAACCCGGAAACUGCAUUCGAUACUGCGGUGCUUGAGGACUCGAGAGGAGAUCGGAAUUCACGGUGUAGCAGUGAAAUGCGUAGAUAUCGUGAGGAAGACCAGUGGCGAAGGCGGAUCUCUGGAGAGUUCCUGACGCUCAGGCACGAAAGCGUGGGGAGCAAAAGGG